rnacentral:lncRNA from 1 species
UUCAAGCUGUUUUCCUGUUUGCAAGAGUUCGUUCAGAUUUCGAGGGAGGGGCCGGAAAGUCAAAGAUUCUCGCCGCCUGACAAACCCAAUGAGCUGAAUACAUUUGAAAGAGAAUGUUGUUCCUAAUCUCGUAACCAGAUUCUACCGUUUUACAGUAACUGAAAUGCCAUGGAAGGUCUACUAACUAUGCCUAAAUCUCAAAGAAAUGCGAAAUAUGUGUAUCAAGGCGCCCAAGCUCCCGGAUAUAUUCCCUCCGCCUGCAAGAGAGGAUUUGAUCACUAAUUCAUAUUUCAGACCAAAUUCCGUUACAUUUCCUACUUUGAACUAACGCAUGGUCCCUAGUCCGAAGUCUAGAAUUUUUCACAGCCGACUUAGCAAAGCCGCUUCCUGAGCAAUUCGGUUUGAGUCGUUAUUUUUCGACACCGGAAGCUUGUUUGAACGUGACUGACCGUCGCAUGAUCAAAGGAAAAUUUUACUCGUGAGCUAAAUCGUGUGGAAGACGAUUUCCUCAAAGGUGACGGCAUAUACCUGUAAAUUAUUCUCAUCCAAUGCCCGUAAUGGUUAAUUAGAGGAUAAAGAAAACUUUGGAAGUCAAAGCGGGGUUGGUUCGGGAAUGACCCAAAGGAUCAAGAUGAACUCUCCAGCAGUGACAAAAAACCCAGGAUUCUUUUACUGGGCCUCAGAAGUGGUAUGUUUUUAGGAUGGUUAUAUGUGUGGAGGCCUUGGGAAAGCUCCAUAUGACUGUAACAAGAGCAUACAAGGAUUCCUAACCUCUGGACUGGUUCAGGGACAUGAAACUUUAUCUAAUAUGUAGGUCCACCUGUGUAUUUUGAGACUAAUGGAGGCCAUGAAUAUGAACAUCCUUCUGGACAAAACAAGAUUUGUGGCUCAACAGGCUACGGGUCCUUUUCUUCAGUACAAAAAAUCUACAGUGCUUCACUAGCUGAUACCUGAGGGUAAUGCCACAUAACUCAACUAAUACAACAACUCCAGCACCUCCUGUCAUCUGGUACCGUUUGUCUUCUGUAAUGCAACCUGAGUAGUUGAUGAUGAUUUCUGCAAACCGUGCCUGAAUUUAAGCCAAAAGGGUUGGAGACCGACCCCCAAGCAGUGCGAUAAGUUCCUGCCAUUUAAUCUCAAGGAUAACCCAGAGACAAAAUGCACCAAAGGGGAUCAUGCAGCAUAUGGUGAUGCUCUCCGGCUUGGGGACAAAAAUGAUGAGUACCCUACCCAGGCCUCUUACUUUAUGUUCUACCACACAAUCCUGAAAACGUCACCAGAAUACACAGCAGCUUUGAAGAGCGUACGUAAAAUUGGAAAGAACAUCUCAAAGACACUUGGUGUGGAAGUGUUCCCAUACAGCGUAUGUACGUUUUCUACGAACAAUACCUUACGGUUGAAAAGGAAACUUGAGAAAAUCUUUUGUAUUGUGCAGCUCAGUUUAUUAAAUUUCAGAUCUGGCUGCCACCUUCGUUGUGACCUUCCUUCACUUGGGAUUCAAUCUGAGUAUAGUGAUCAUUGUGACCUUUACAGUGGCUCUCAUCAUUUUCAAUUUGAUGGGUCUGAUCUACAUUUGGAACAUUUUUCUAAACGCCGUCUCACUUGUUAACGUUGUAAUGUAUGUAUAAAUAGCUGAGGGUUUUAAAAAAGCAGAGUUAAAUGUUUGAAUACAGGUUAAACUUACAGUAUACGCAAAUUGGUCAGGCAGGUGAGUGCCAAUUUCCCGCACUAAGCUUAGGAAAAUUAUCGCAAACAACUGCUUUCAAGCAAAAUUUACGAAUAUAAAUUGAAACAUUCAUACAAACUUUAAAAGCAAAUAAGAAAAAGGAGGAGGCAUUAUUGCGAAUUCACAUUACGAGGCAUUAUUGCGAAUAUGCCUAUUCAGGUGUUACUCACACUCUGCAGUUCAAAACUGAAGUUCGUUGCGAUGAUAAAACCAAAAAAUAAAAAAAAAAUCGGAUCCAAACGAUCUCAUUCCUUGCUGGUUUUGUUUCGACUAAGUGUGUUUUGACACAUACUUUUUGACAAACCAUUGUCCUUUAUUAGUUAUUUUAUAACCAAGACAAUUUUGUUUUCAUCAUAGGCGUUGGGUAUAUCAUGAGUAGAGUUUUGCUCGCAUAUUGCGCGGGCGUUUACCGUUAAUUCACAUCCCUCACGAGUAGAAAGAGCUAAGGAAGCUGCUGCGAAAAUGGGCAGCUCAGUAAGUUUUAAGUUAUGGUGUGCUUAACUUUCAAUAUCUGUAGCUAUAUCUCCUGGAGCACACAACAUACAAAAUUUUGCAGAUAGCUUUGUAGCUGUAGAAAGCAGCUUGCAAAGAUAAAACAUUCUUGAAGCUUCUGCAAGGCUAAGUUUGCUGUUGAGCAAACUCUGUGUCCUUUAGAUCAUUACCCAGUAUUGCUCCAUUUCUUAAUUUGUUGCAGCCAUUUUCAUCCAUUUGCGUGCAAUGUUCACUUUGUAUUGAAGGAAGUUAGUUUCUAAAUAUUGGGUAACUAUCUUUGACGCCAAAAACUUGAGGCGUCCAGCAAGAGCGCGGGGAAGUCUUGGCUGACUAAGUCACCAUUGGGUAACGUUUAGCAUCCGAUUGGUUGAGAGGAUUUGGCGAGUUUUCUAGACCAAUCACAGGGCGUAGUUAAGCAAGAGCAAUGCAGACCUGGAUUCCUCUCGACAGUCAGUUAUAACUUUCUGGGUGUCAGCCUUAGUGACCAGGCCUGAAAGACUUGACCGCAUGCAUUGAAUUUAUUAUUGUAUAUUGACAUUUAAUAAAAACAAACAAUC